GUCAAUCACAGUGUUAUUUUUUAUAUAUAUAUACAUAUUUAUUUUUUUUUCCCUUAGGAAGUUGGCUGCAUUUUCAGAGGAUUUUUUCAGACAUCCUUCUGUCUUUAUUAAGAGAAAGACCUCUAUUCUCUCUGAAUCUAUUCCCAUUAUCCAGAGGGGGUAAGUCCUCAGGGCCAAGUGUUUCCAAACCUGGUAUUUACACGGGCUUGGGCUAACUAACAGACUGGUGACUUCCCUAGGACUUGGGUCUCCCUUGAAACUGUAAACCCUCCACCCCCAAAGCAUGUGUGCCUGAAGGACAAGGAGGGAUAUUUUUU
ensembl:lncRNA